AGCAUAUCAAUAAGCGGAGGAAAAGAAACUAACAAGGAUUCCCCUAGUAACGGCGAGUGAAGCGGGAAGAGCUUCAAAUUUAAAAUCUGGCAGUGUAUUCUGUCCGAGUUGUAGUCUAGAGAAGCAUCAUCCGUGCUGGACCG
rnacentral:rRNA from 1 species